AAUCGCGUGUUUGUUCGAGGUUCUCUGGAUCUCGCUUGAUCCGGAGCUAAGAGGGAAGCCGGUGUGAUGCUGGCGCUGCCCCCGCAACUGUAAGCGGCGAGCCGCUGUCCAAUACUGUCACUGAAGCCGGUUGGCUUCGGGAAGACCGGAUAGCAGCGAUGACCCGUGAGCCAGGAGACCUGCCCCGACAACAUGUUCGUC
rfam:Bradyrhizobium sp. NAS80.1 Bradyrhizobium_NAS_80.1_c224, whole genome shotgun sequence.